rnacentral:rRNA from 2 species
UACGUAGGGUGCGAGCGUUAAUCGGAAUUACUGGGCGUAAAGCGUGCGCAGGCGGUUAUAUAAGACAGAUGUGAAAUCCCCGGGCUCAACCUGGGAACUGCAUUUGUGACUGUAUAGCUAGAGUGCGGCAGAGGGGGAUGGAAUUCCGCGUGUAGCAGUGAAAUGCGUAGAUAUGCGGAGGAACACCGAUGGCGAAGGCAAUCCCCUGGGCCUGCACUGACGCUCAUGCACGAAAGCGUGGGGAGCAAACAGG